UCUAACUUAACAUAUAGAUUAAUGUGAAAGAUUGUAAAUCUUUUUAAAGUAAAUUUGCUAGUUAGGA
rnacentral:tRNA from 1 species